rnacentral:rRNA from 1 species
GAUAAACGCUGGCGGCGUGCCUAACACAUGCAAGUCGAACGCCCUUUUGCGCAAGUGAGAGGGAGUGGCGGACGGGUGAGUACCACGUGGGUACCUACCUUGAGGUGAGGAAUACCACCGAGAAAUCGGUGACAAGACCGCAUACGCUCGGGCAACCGAGCAAAGUCAUGCAAAUGACGCCACAAGAUGAGCCUGCGCCUGAUUAGCUGGUUGGUGAGGUAACAGCUCACCAAGGCGACGAUCAGUAGCUGGUCUGAGAGGAUGAUCAGCCACACUGGGAUUGAGAACGGCCCAGACUCCUACGGGGGCGAGCAGU